UCAGAUAAACGUGCUGCCGCUGCCUCCGCGCGGUCCCAAGAUUCCACGGCGAAAGCCUGCCUUCCGUAUUAAAUCGCCUGCCGGCCGUGCUAGACUGCCUGCCACACCCGCGGCUGCCCGCAGAAUCGUCAAGCUCACUGCCGAAGAAAUGAAGGCUAAAGAGAUCUUGUCUAACUACGUCGAAAUAGAUCACACGGCUACGGCUAGAUUGGGAUUUUAUGCUGCUAGACCCGGCCUUGCUGCCAGACCCAGCUAUGUUGCUGGACCUAGCUAUGUUGCUAGACCCAGCUAUGUCGCUGAACCCAGCCAUGUCGCUGAACCCAGACAUCUCCCUGCACCCAGCCAUGUCGCUGAACCCAGCAAUGUCGCUGAACCCAGCCAUGUCGCUGAACCCAGCCAUGUCGCUGAACCCAGCCAUGUCGCUGAACCCAGCCAUCUCGCUGAACCCAGCCAUGUCGCUGAACGCAGCCAUGUCGCUGGACGCUGGCAUUUUUUGAGCAAGCUAAAGCCCGGCCAAGCUAAGGCCCAGUCAAGCCAGAGCCUAGGCAAGUAUGGCAAAGGGAGGAAGAUGACCAGUGACUCUGACAGCGAUGCUCUGAACAACGCGUCGCGAGCUGUUCAUCUCGCAAGUAGAUUUGGUACCAUCAUAAUCUAGUUGUGUUAUCACUCCACGAUCAUUCAUUGUGCGUCAUUUAGUGAUGGUGGCCACUUCUAGUGACUUCUAGAUCAUUGUGUGUGUAGUGAAACAUUUUAGUUUUUUUUUUCUUCUUUUUAGUUUAUGGUUUACGAUAUACGUUUAAUAACUAAUUUAAUACCCUGUGCAAUUAGUGUAACGUAAAUGUAUAUCGAUUAAAAACGCUAUCAACCAUUCAUAAAAUUGAUGUUGUUCUGUGUUUAUCACCGUUGGUAUCAUCAGGACCGAACACGACAUACGACACAUAAAUAUGUUGCUAUUACAGUAUUCUUAAUCAUUUGUCCUCUAUCUUAUAAGCAUUUAAAAAAUCUAUCUUAAUGGGUGAGACAGAUUGUACAUCUUUAUCACAAUCUGCGAUUUCUCCUAAAAAUCCACAGGAUAUAAAAAAAAACAUAUAAGACCGGUUUCAUACCAGCGAAUUAUCCGCUCGUAUUUGUAAUCGUGAUUAGACGAAAACGGUGCUUGAACGAUGAUACGCGCACCAAACGCAAAUUAUAUUUUCCAAGCCGGGCAGGUAAAUAAGCUAGUCUGAAAUCGCUCUACAGUACAAGUGAAAUUGACGGCUCUUAAAUUUUUCAAUUUUUUAUUCAUUUUUUAGAUUAUCAAAAUCUAAACGAUUAAUUUAUGCCUAUUAGAAAAAUGAUUGCCCUCGAUCCCGAGGGAACAAACGAUAUGGAGAAUUUGAAAAACUUGCGUCUGGUGUAACUGAUACUAGCUCCAAUUAACCGUAAAAUACCGGUUGUAUCCACUUCGCAACUUCAACUAUCCACCACAAAACUCUGCAAUGUUUGCUAGAAGUAGUAAGUCAUUAUUUUUAUUUGCUUUUUUUAACAAUUGGCCGCUUGACAUUCAUUAGACGAUUUAGUUUUAUCAUUUUUAACCUAUUACCGACUCCCCAUAGUUUUUCGGAAUCGAAUAAGAGAGGCUGUAGUUCUCGUCAAACUUAAUGGCGGCUCGCAACCAACUUCCGAGCAUAAGUAUAGUUACGCGCAUGGCGCACACGCGUGAUGUUCCGACCCGCUAUUAAACUUGGCAAAAACUAUAUUUGCUCUUAGUAUAAACGUCUCUUGAACGUCUUCGACUAUUUUUCCUACAAUACAAUUGUACUUUAAUGUAACAUUGUACCUUUAAAAAGUCACUGUAAUAUUAUUAUUGUAACAAAAUCCUGUGUAUGAAACAAAUAAGUUUCUUUCUGAAAUAACUCUUACAGAGGUGAACAAAAAUACACAUCAUUCAUCAUCUGCUCUUCUUUACAUGCUAGACUUGGCCUCCGAGAUCGGCGUGCAGCGCCACUUCAAACCGGUAAAUAUCUUGCAUUUUAAUACCCCAAUAAAAUAAAAAGAUAUAUCCUAGAAAAUCUUCAUACAUAUCGUACACCUAGGUCUAAAGGCAGUUAACUCAAAAAACUAGAUUUUUGAUGCAUAAAUACGACCAACAAAGAUGUAAAAAUUUGUUCUAGUUGCGUACAAAAAUCAGUUUUCUAUACACUUCUAGCACGCACAGGGAUGGAAGAAUCAGUUUUUCGCGUUUUCUGAAGUGUUUUUUUGAGUCAACCCUCUUUAGAUAUUGGUGUGCGGUAUGUUCGUUGAAUACUUAGGUACUUACUACAGCUCUCGUGAAAAUCUACCGUUAUGAAAGCAAUUUCAAUGCAACGCGAAAGAAAAAUAGUGUUUUGUUUAUUAAUUAACUCUUUUGCGCAGUCAUUAGUACCAAACUUCACAAUGGUGAAGAAUUUUCACGACAGCUGUACUCAAAUGCUUCUGAAUAUUGCAUCCUGAUUAGGCUGCCCGUCCACGUCACGACUUUUAGUAGGACUGAUAAACGACCCAAUUUUUUAUAGCAUGUACUAAGAUUUUCUGAUCGACUAUAUGUAGGACAUGUGUGUCGCACUAUUACUAUCAGUGUGUUCUAUAUUUUUCCUACAAAAUAUCGGUCACCGAUUGUUGGACUUGGGCGGUCAGUUCUAAGACAAAAACCAGUUAAAGGCAGUAUAGGUUUCUUUUCAUCAUGAUCCACAUAAAAUUUUGCAUGCUAAUAAUAAUAACUUUGUUUCGCCAUUUCACUAAAGUUGCCUUAACCCAUUAGAAGUCACUGUACACUCGAUUGAGUACAGUCACAUUCCUAAGUGUAAAUAACAGAUCUCGUAAAGUUAAUGUAGUUAACCUUGUUAUUUUACUUGAUUAUAACACUCUUUUAUGAUAUGAAAAAUAUUAUGUGCGUAGCGUUUUGUUUUUUUCCCAAAAAAAAAUUUUUCCAUGUUUUUCUUGUCUUUUGUGUUCCAAUUCCAAAAUAAUUAAGUACUUUUUGUUUGACCUCUAAUGGGUUAAAAGAGAUUCAGCGCCCCACGUUCGCCUUCCAAAAUUCCGGGACUCUAGUCCCGUGGUACUGUAGUGACAUACAGAUAUAUGUUAACUGCAGAUCAACGUGCUUCCCUUGCCGCCGCGCGCCGCUUCGCACGAGAAGCCGGUCCGCCCCGUCGCUCGCAAGCCCGUGCUGCCUCGCAGCCGCACCUGUCCUCGCCUGCGCUACGACAGCGACAUGAUUGAACUUGGCAUCCUCCACAACCGCCAUCCAGGCAUCGAGCGCCCAAUGAUUCCGCAUUUCAGACAGAUCGUCCUGCAAGAACCGCCGUCGCCUCCCGAGAGCUUAGAGAAUGGCCUCGUCAAUUGCGUCUUGGACUAAUCUAUUUA